rnacentral:rRNA from 1 species
AUGGACGCAAGUCUGAUGGAGCAACGCCGCGUGAGUGAAGAAGGGUUUCGGCUCGUAAAGCUCUGUUGGUAGUGAAGAAAGAUAGAGGUAGUAACUGGCCUUUAUUUGACGGUAAUUACUUAGAAAGUCACGGCUAACUACGUGCCAGCAGCCGCGGUAAUACGUAGGUGGCAAGCGUUGUCCGGAUUUAUUGGGCGUAAAGCGAGUGCAGGCGGUUCAAUAAGUCUGAUGUGAAAGCCUUCGGCUCAACCGGAGAAUUGCAUCAGAAACUGUUGAACUUGAGUGCAGAAGAGGAGAGUGGAACUCCAUGUGUAGCGGUGGAAUGCGUAGAUAUAUGGAGGAACACCAGUGGCGAAGGCGGCUCUCUGGUCUGCAACUGACGCUGAGGCUCGAAAGCAUGGGUAGCGAACAGGAUUAGAUACCCUGGUAGUCCAUGCCGUAAACGAUGAGUGCUAAGUGUUGGGAGGUUUCCGCCUCUCAGUGCUGCAGCUAACGCAUUAAGCACUCCGCCUGGGGAGUACGACCGCAAGGUUGAAACUCAAAGGAAUUGACGGGGGCCCGCACAAGCGGUGGAGCAUGUGGUUUAAUUCGAAGCAACGCGAAGAACCUUACCAGGUCUUGACAU